UACGUAGGGUGCGAGCGUUAAUCGGAAUUACUGGGCGUAAAGCGUGCGUAGGCGGUCCGCGAAGUCUGAUGUGAAAGCCCCGGGCUCAACCUGGGAACUGCAUUGGAAACUAACGGGCUCGAGUGUGGCAGAGGGGGAUGGAAUUCCACGUGUAGCAGUGAAAUGCGUAGAGAUGUGGAGGAACACCGAUGGCGAAGGCAGCCCCCUGGGCUAACACUGACGCUCAGGCACGAAAGCGUGGGGAGCAAACAGG
rnacentral:rRNA from 1 species